UACGUAGGCAGCGAGCGUUGUUCGGAGUUACUGGGCGUAAAGGGUGUGUAGGCGGUUGUUUAAGUUUGGUGUGAAAUCUCCCGGCUCAACUGGGAGGGUGCGCCGAAUACUGAAUGACUUGGAGUGCGGGAGAGGAAAGUGGAAUUCCUGGUGUAGCGGUGAAAUGCGUAGAUAUCGGGAGGAACACCAGUGGCGAAGGCGGCUUCCUGGACCGGUUCUGACACUGAGGAGCGAAAGCGUGGGGAGCGAUCCGG
rnacentral:rRNA from 1 species